GUCACUGUUAUGUAACCUAGGAACAAGAUACCAUUACUAUGUAUGCAGUCUGGGAGCUGAAUAUCAAGCUCUAGACCUACCUGUGAACAUUCAAACACUCAUUUCCAAACUGACAAAAAUGAUAUCUGCCUCUGAUGUUGCUCAAUUCGUUGACAGUUAUUGCCAUAUUCUCACUGUAUUGUGACAAUAAAUAAAAUAUAUAGUUGUGAUUCUCAAAAGUUUCUUUAAACUAUUCUUAGGCCAUAAUGUUUACAGGGAAAAAUUACAUGAAAAAAUACACUCAUAAAUGUUUGAAAAAUCUUGCACCAUAUACAACUUUAUAAAUUUGUCUUGUAAUAUUUAGGUUAUGUUUUAACUUCCUUAUUUUUUCCAGGGUGGGAGAACGAAUGUUCUCUGAAGAAAUCUGUAUGAUAUAGACUAGUGAAGGUAACUGGCCUGAACUACAGCUCUAGAGUCAUUUGGUUUCACCUUCAGGGAGGUUGGCACAAGAAGAGUACGAUCCUUUGGCUGUUGGGAAAAAACUUUCAGUCUAAUCAGAGAGAGAUUUGAGAAGCAGUUGCUUGAGUAUUGAACAUGAAGCUGAAGGACAAUUGGGUACCUCAAGAUUUCAAGUUAUUGUUCUGGGGAUCUGGAAGAAAGAUGAGUUACAGAUCUGAAAAAGCAGUGUGUGUGGAGCUUAACUGCGCAUGACUGAUUGUGUGAUAUAUUGCUCUUUUCACUAAUAACCACAAAGCAGGUAGAGGCAUGGCAGACUAAUUUGGUUUAUAUGUCCAGCUGUAAGGCUAGACACUGCAUCAUUCU
rnacentral:lncRNA from 1 species